GCCAUUGCAAACACGAAGCUCUUCCAGAAACGCCCUCACAGACACCCCGGAAGUCACGUACCCACUCUGUAGGUGCCCCGGGGCACAGGCAAGCGGACGAGCCAGUUAUCCCUCAGAGCUCCUGCUGCCUCGCCCGCUUUCUCUCGGAAACGUGAAGUGUGGCCUCAGCUGAAAGUGAGGUGGGCCUCAUUCAAUCAGUUGAAUUCUUCAAGAGAGAAAAACUGAAGUCCCUUAGAAGGAAAGAGUUCUGCCUUCAGACUGUCUUUGAACUUAAGACUGUAGCGUCGACUCCUGCCGGAAUUUCCAGCCUGCUGGCCAGCUCUGCAGAUUCACACUUGCCAGCCUCCACAAUCGCAGCUGAGGCGGAGGAACCCUAAGGGCUCAUUGAGAUCAUGGAUUUGCCCUUCUAUGCAUUGAUGGAGCACCUGCUGCCCACAGCGUCUGUAUUUGGUGCUGGGAUGCUGAGGACACUGAGAUCUUCAAACAGAGGCUGCCACUCUAAGCAAACAGAUCCCGAGCCCUGGACUCUGAAGCUUGGGCCCAGUUCUCCUUUUCUCCGGGUUUCAGAUCCCACUGUGAAGUGAGGGGGCCCUUCUGAUUCAGGACCCGGGGAAGCCAGGGGCAUGAGCAUCGGUGCCUCUUCUCUAUUUCAAGGACCCUUCUGGGUGUAAAGUUCUCUGAGAUGCCUUACAUGGAUUCCCACCACUGCAAGAUAACCAUCGUAUGUAAAGUGUUAUGACCAGCAGAGCGUAAUUGAAGUGCAUUCCAGAGGGAAAGACAGCGGCUCAGGAGUGCUGCAGCCCUCCGCAGUUAAGUUCCCCAUUGCUGCAGCCCUCUACAGUGAAGGAAAGACCCUGGCUUUCCUCCCCAGCUCCAAGUGGGCUGUUCUGAUUGCUUCCGGGUCCUGUCCUCAUGGGGAGCAGCACCACGGGAGACUCUGCCUCUGCUGAGUUUUCUAACAUUAGUGUCGGGAAACAAGAAUCUGCCACUGAUGCUCCUUUUGUAAAGGUAUAAACAUGUAUAUAAAGGAACACCCCAGCACA
rnacentral:lncRNA from 1 species